AGAGUUUGAUCCUGGCUCAGGAUGAACGCUAGCUGGAGGCUUAAUACAUGCAAGUCGAGCGGGAUUGUGGCAGUAAUGCUACAUGAGAGCGGCGAACGGGUGAGUAACGCGUACACGACCUACCUUUGACUGGGGGAUAGCCCUGGGAAACUGGGAUUAAUACCGCAUAUAAUUCUGAUGAGUAAAGAAAUUGGAAUGAAAGUUCAGGCGGUCAGAGAUGGGUGUGCGUCUGAUUAGCUAGUUGGUAAGGUAACGGCUUACCAAGGCGAUGAUCAGUAGGGGGCGUGAGAGCGUGGACCCCCACACGGGUACUGAGACACGGACCCGACUCCUACGGGAGGCAGCAGUAGGGAAUAUUGGACAAUGGCCGCAAGGCUGAUCCAGCCAUCCAGCGUGCAGGAAGAAGGCCCUAUGGGUUGUAAACUGCUUUUAUCAGGGAAGAAACCUGUGGAUUUACUCCGCAGCUGACGGUACCUGAAGAAUAAGCACCGGCUAACUCCGUGCCAGCAGCCGCGGUAAUACGGAGGGUGCGAGCGUUAUCCGGAAUUACUGGGUUUAAAGGGUGCGUAGGCGGCUUAGUAAGUCAGGAGUGAAAGUUUGCGGCUCAACCGUAAAAUUGCUUUUGAUACUGCUAGGCUGGAAUUAGGAUGAGGUCAGCGGAAUGUGGCAUGUAGCGGUGAAAUGCAUAGAUAUGCCAUAGAACACCAAUUGCGAAGGCAGCUGGCUAGACCUGGAUUGACGCUGAGGCACGAAAGCGUGGGGAGCAAAAGGGAUUAGAUACCCCUGUAGUCCACGCCCUAAACGGUGCACACUAGGUCUUGGCGGAUUCGACCCCACCAGGGCCCAAGCUAACGCGUUAAGUGUGCCGCCUGAGGACUACGGCCGCAAGGCUAAAACUCAAAGGAAUUGACGGGGGCCCGCACAAGCGGUGGAGUAUGUGGCUCAAUUCGAUCCACGCGAAGAACCUUACCAGGCCUUGACAUGCACUAGACAGACGCUGAAAGGCGUUCUCCCUUCGGGGCUGGUGCACAGGUGCUGCAUGGCUGUCGUCAGCUCGUGUCGUGAGAUGUUGCGUUAAGUCGCGCAACGAGCGCAACCCCUGUCCUUAGUUGCCAUCAUUAAGUUGGGCACUCUAGGGAGACAAACCCUCUUUGAGGGUGGGAAGGUGGGGAUGACGUCAAGUCAGGAUGGCCCUUACGGCCUGGGCUGCACACGUACUACAAUGCCCGGUACAGAGGGAAGCAAUACCGCGAGGUGGAGCAAAUCCUCAAAACCGGGCCCAGUUCAGAUUGUAGUCUGCAACUCGACUACAUGAAGUUGGAAUCGCUAGUAAUGGCGCAUCAGCUACGGCGCCGUGAAUACGUUCCCGGGCCUUGUACACACCGCCCGUCACGUCAUGAAAGCCGGUUUCGCCCGAAGUGCGUUUGCCAACCAGCAAUGGAGGCGGCGCCCUAAGGUGAGGCUGGUGAUUGGGACGAAGUCGGAACAAGGUA
rnacentral:rRNA from 1 species